rnacentral:rRNA from 1 species
GAGGAGCCUGCGGCGGAUUAGCUAGUUGGUAAGGUAACGGCUUACCAAGGCGAUGAUCCGUAGCCGGCCUGAGAGGGCGGUCGGCCACACUGACACUGACAUACGGGUCAGACUCCUACGGGAGGCAGCAGUCGGGAAUUUUGGGCAAUGGGCGAAAGCCUGACCCAGCAACGCCGCGUGAAGGAUGAAAUCCCUUGGGAUGUAAACUUCGCAAGAACGGGAAGAAUAAGUAAGAGCUAACAUCUCUUAUGAUGACGGUACUGUUUGUAAGCUCCGGCUAACUCCGUGCCAGCAGCCGCGGUAAUACGGGGGGAGCAAGCGUUGUUCGGAUUUACUGGGCGUAAAGGGCGCGUAGGCGGCCACCGCAAGUCGACUGUGAAAUCUCUGGGCUUAACCCAGAACGGUCAGCCGAUACUGCGGGGCUAGAGUGCAGAAGGGGCAACUGGAAUUCUCGGUGUAGCGGUGAAAUGCGUAGAUAUCGAGAGGAACACCUGCGGCGAAGGCGGCUCACUGGACCGGUACUGACGCUGAGGCGCGAAAGCGUGGGGAGCAAACGGGAUUAGAUACCCCGGUAGUCCACGCCGUAAACGAUGAGUGCUUGGUGU